rnacentral:lncRNA from 1 species
AAACUGUCUUUUAACUGCUGCCAUUAUCUUUCAUCGUUCAACUGCUUUCGAUUGAAUUCCUUGAGUCGUGGAACGUGAUAAGACUACUUUAACAACUGCCUUGAUAACUGCAUUCCUUGAUAACCACGAUGCGUUAUAUUUGUUGAUACAUUGGGCGACUUGAAAGUUUGGGCGAGAGUAGAAUAACAGCUCUGGGCGACCGUAUGACACUCCAUUCGUUCAGAUU